rnacentral:lncRNA from 1 species
AAGGUUGGUAUCACAGUUGUUGUGGUUUGAGGAGGUAGAAGAAAGUUGAGUAAUUUGAAAAUGGAAGAAGGGUUUGUGGAGGUUUGGUUGAGAGUUAAGGGUGAGUUAAUGGGUUUCUAGUGCAUGAGAAAUAAGGGAGAUGAAUGGCAGCGACAUAGAGGUGAUGGGGGAUGUUGAGAAUUUGUUGGUGGUAACAACAAUGUGGUGUUUAUCAUUGUGGUGCUGGUAUCAUGUUAAAGGUUGGAAUUCAAGUGGUGGUGGUGAAUGGGUUUUUAUGACAGAUGGAGUUGAUUAUGGUGGAUAGUUGUUGGUUGUUUAUGAGAAAAUGAAGAAUUAACACGGGAAGAAGAUGUUUUUUGAUUCACAGAGAAAGAAGAUAUGACCAUGAACAAUAGGCAUAUUCUUUAUUUUGGUGUAUCAAACCUUUCUCUUAAACUCCUUUUCUCUCUUUUUCUAUCAUGUUUUUUUUUACAAACGAGAGAGAUCUGAUUGGUUUAAGAGCGUCGCUUGGUGGAUGUCCA